rnacentral:rRNA from 1 species
CACCGCGGUUAUACGGAUGGCCUAUGUUGAUAGACGUACGGCGUAAAGUGUGGUUAAGAAAACUUUAAAGUAAAGCAGAACCUUUCCAGAACAGUUAAAUGUGCCUGAAAAAGUAGAACUUCAACCACGAAGGUGGCUUUAUAACCCUGACUCCACUAAAGCUAAGAAA